UCUGAGCUCAGUUGGUAGAGCAUGAGACUCUUAAUCUCAGGGUUGUGUGUUGGAGCUCCACAAUUGGGCAAAA